UACGAAGGGUGCAAGCGUUAAUCGGAAUUACUGGGCGUAAAGCGUGCGUAGGCGGUUUCUUAAGUCUGCUGUGAAAUCCCCGGGCUCAACCUGGGAAUGGCAGUGGAUACUGGGAGGCUAGAGUGUGUCAGAGGAUGGUGGAAUUCCCGGUGUAGCGGUGAAAUGCAUUGAGAUCGGAAAGAACACCAACGGCGAAAGCACUCUGCUGGGCCGACACUGACACUGAGAGACGAAAGCUAGGGGAGCAAAUGGG
rnacentral:rRNA from 1 species